AUGAAUGCUGGCGGCGUGCCUAACACAUGCAAGUCGAGCGGCAGCGCGAGUAGUUUACUACUUGGCGGCGAGCGGCGGACGGCUGAGUAACGCGUGGGAACAUACCCCAAAGUGAGGGAUAACCGCCCGAAAGGGUGGCUAAUACCGCAUAUGAUCUUCGGAUUAAAGGAUUUAUCCGCUUUGGGAAUGGCCUGCGUACGAUUAGAUAGUUGGUGAGGUAAAGGCUCACCAAGUCGACGAUCGUUAACUGGUCUGAGAGGAUGAUCAGUCAGACUGGAACUGAGACACGGUCCAGACUCCUACGGGAGGCAGCAGUGAGGAAUCUUCCACAAUGGGCGAAAGCCUGAUGGAGCAACGCCGCGUGCAGGAUGAAGGCCUUCGGGUCGUAAACUGCUUUUAUAAGUGAAGAAUAUGACGGUAGCUUAUGAAUAAGCACCGGCUAACUACGU
rnacentral:rRNA from 1 species